GAAAUGCGAUAAGUAAUGUGAAUUGCAGAAUUCAGUGAAUCAUCGAAUCUUUGAACGCACAUUGCGCCCGCCAGUAUUCUGGCGGGCAUGCCUGUUCGAGCGUCAUUACAACCCUCAGGCCCCCGGGCCUGGCGUUGGGGAUCGGCGGAAGCCCCCUGCGGGCACAACGCCGUCCCCCAAAUACAGUGGCGGUCCCGCCGCAGCUUCCAUUGCGUAGUAGCUAACACCUCGCAACGGGAGAGCGGCGCGGCCACGCCGUAAAACACCCAACUUCUGAAUGUUGACCUCGAAUCAGGUAGGAAUACCCGCUGAACUUAAGC
rnacentral:misc_RNA from 1 species